GACACAAAAACAAAAACAAAGCCUGUCAGACACAAAGACGUUCUCCAAUCUAUGAAGGUUCUAACAACCAUGUGAAUUUUUAUCCCCUAGAGUCCAAUCCAUCGGCCAAUGGUCAUCGGUCAUCAAUAUAAGAAUAUGAUUUCUGGUCGUUGACUGAAUUGAAUCGCUUUUCUCGGCUUACAUCAUAUGAAAUCCACACAGGUCAUUGAUCUGUGGUUGUUGUGAAAGGCCAUGGCCAAAUUACUUCAACUCGCGUCUGCCAGAUUGGGUCGAAUCUACUUACCUUCCCGAUCAUUGACCUCCUCUGAAGUCUCCACAGCCUUGAGACCAUUCUACUUCUUGGUCCAUCCCGAUCUCUUUGGCUUGUUUCCGGAAGAGCAAGCCGUGAAUGAGCACUCCAUGAAAUCCCUGAAGAAUUAUCUCGAUGUUCUCCUGGAAGAGAAACGCAAGCCCGAAUCCGCCAAGGUGACCUUUUUUCUGAAACGCGGCGAGGCUCGGAACAAAUCCCGCAGCGGUUUGUCUCGAGUGUCCUAUCAACUCACGGAUCCGCAAGUCCGCAAGACGGUCAUUGCCAUUCUUAAAGGCGCCAACUUGCCCACAUCGUACGUGGAUAGCAUCGCCGACAAACCCGAGGAUCGAGUACGGGUCACCAAGUUCGACGGCGAUGCCUUUGACUUUCAGUUCCACGAAGUACGCACCCGGAGUGCCAAUGAUGCUCGAAACCCUUUGGACGUGUUUCUCCAUCGAAAUGUGGAACGAGCUCGAGCCAAUUUCGAGAAGAUCGAACCCUUGCGGCUGAGAUUGGAACGCAUGCAGGAUCUCAUGAUCUAUGACUUCCACUUGAAAGACAUUAUUUGGGGCGGGGAUCUCAAGCCGUACAAUUGUCGCAAUAGCUUGACGAGUUUCCGGUCCAUUUGCGAAAGCGAUCCCGCCAUGGCCGCCAUUGUUCGCGAUAAAACUGUGGUUUUUGGCAACUUCAGUGGUCUCAGUCUGCAAGGUGAGAUCGUCUUGUACAGUGGUGAAGUGGCUCAUAAUUGGUUGCAGAAACUCAAAGAGAUCCCGGAUGAAGAGCAGAUCCUCAAACACAUCCCACGGGUCGAAAAGGCCCUCUCACAAGCCUUAUUGGACGUCAAGGUGGUUCGGAAGAAGUUCCAAGCUAUCACGAGCGUUGACGAUUACCGCCAGCGACUCCGCAGACUCCUGACCUCCAUUAAUGAUUACCGCACCAGCAAACGCUUCCCCGGCCAUUGGCCAGAGUCAUUGGAGCAUUUGGAAAUCUGUCUGGAGAACUCCUCUUCGCCGCUGAUGUUAACCGCUACGGGUCAGAUGAUUUUGCCUUGCAACAUUGCCAUUUCGCGACUUGUGGAAUUCAUGUCCGAGAACAUGGAUCAAGCUCAACAACGACUCGAUCAAGCGGGGAAGCUCGCCCAGAAAGAAGUGGAUAUCAUAGAGGCGUGCGCAUUGGAAUUGGGCUUAGUCAAGUUGGAAAAAGACAUCGGGAUCACUAGUCAGAAUAUGAUCGAAUCCUGCACCCGAUUGAUGCAGUAUUCGGCCCAUAUUCGACAUCUGACCCAUGGGAACCACAUCUUGGUGGAUCGUUACUACUCGGUGGAGUCGGAUGGAACUAUUGUCAUACCAUAUAAUUGGAAGUUCCACGACGAGUAAUCCCGGGUCCCCUGGGACGACUCUGAUAAUCCCAAUGAGUUUUUGUGGAAGGCCAGAUGGCCAAUGGCAUUGCCAAAUGGAUGAGAAAAGGCCAAUGAAACCAUUGCAUUGUUGCGAGUUAAUAGUAUUCCGCAAUUACUGGUGUUCAAAAUUGACCUGAUUUUUUUGCUGACAUCUGGUUUGAAGACAAAGGUCAAAAAGGUUAACAGUUAUGAUAUCCUCGUGGAUAUUACUGUCAAUCACCUUACAUAGUUUUGUCCGUCCUCCGCCAUCAGCUCUAACAUUAUUUCAAGAAACUCUACAGCCAUGUGGUUUAAUCAUUGUCAUGUAUUGAAAACUUU